rnacentral:rRNA from 1 species
CCUACGGGAGGCAGCAGUGGGGAAUAUUGGUCAAUGGGUGCAAGCCUGACCCAGCCAUGCCGCGUGAAGGAAGAAGGCUUUCGGGUUGUAAACUUCUUUUACAGGGGAAGAGCAGAAGACGGUACCCUGAAAACAAGCCACGGCUAACUACGAGCCAGCAGCCGAGUUAAUACGUAGGUGGCAUGCGUUGUCCGGAUUUACUGGGUGUAAAGGGCGUGUAGCCGGGAAGGCAAGUCAGAUGUGAAAUCCGUAGGCUCAACCUCCGAAUUGCAGUUGAAACUGUUUUUCUUGAGUACUGGAGAGGCAGACGGAAUUCCUUGUGUAGCGGUGAAAUGCGUAGAUAUAAGGAGGAACACCAGUGGCGAAGGCGGUCUGCUGGACAGCAACUGACGGUGAGGCGCGAAAGCGUGGGGAUCGAACAGGAUUAGAUACCCGGGUAGUC